rnacentral:rRNA from 1 species
UGGGGAAUUUUGGACAAUGGGCGAAAGCCUGAUCCAGCAAUGCCGCGUGUGUGAAGAAGGCCUUCGGGUUGUAAAGCACUUUUGUCCGGAAAGAAAUGGCUCUGAUUAAUACCUGGGGUCGAUGACGGUACCGGAAGAAUAAGGACCGGCUAACUACGUGCCAGCAGCUGCGGUAAUACGUAGGGUCCAAGCGUUAAUCGGAAUUACUGGGCGUAAAGCGUGCGCAGGCGGUUGUGCAAGACCGAUGUGAAAUCCCCGAGCUUAACUUGGGAAUUGCAUUGGUGACUGCACGGCUAGAGUGUGUCAGAGGGGGGUAGAAUUCCACGUGUAGCAGUGAAAUGCGUAGAGAUGUGGAGGAAUACCGAUGGCGAAGGCAGCCCCCUGGGAUAACACUGACGCUCAUGCACGAAAGCGUGGGGAGCAAACAGGAUUAGAUACCCUGGUAGUCCACGCCCUAAACGAUGUCAACUAGUUGUUGGGGAUUCAUUUCCUUAGUAACGUAGCUAACGCGUGAAGUUGACCGCCUGGGGAGUACGGUCGCAAGGAUUAAAACUUAAAGGAAUUGAC